rnacentral:rRNA from 1 species
GACGAACGCUGGCGGCGUGCUUAACACAUGCAAGUCGAACGAGUGGCGAACGGGUGAGUAACACGUGGGUGACCUGCCCUGCACUUCGGGAUAAGCCUGGGAAACUGGGUCUAAUACCGGAUAGUGUGGGAGGGGCCCGCGGCCUAUCAGCUUGUUGGUGGGGUAAUGGCUACCAAGGCGCGACGGGUAGCCGGCCUGAGAGGGUGGACGGCCACAUUGGGACGGAGACACGGCCCAGACUCCUACGGGAGGCAGCAGUGGGGAAUAUUGCACAAUGGGGGGAAGCCUGAUGCAGCGCCGCCGCGUGGGGGAUGACGGCCUUCGGGUUGUAAAGCUCUGUUAAUCGGGACGCGGUACCGGAAUAGAAAGCCACGGCUCACUACGUGCCAGCAGCCGCGGUAAUAC